CCUCUACCGAUGAAUGGUUAUAGUGAGCAUAUGGGAUCAGUAGAAUUAGGUUGGCAACAACCUUUCUCUGCAGAGAACUAUGGCAAACUAGGCUAUUUAGAGGAAGUAAAAGUCGUAACAAGGUUUCCGUAGGUGAACCUGCGGAAGGAUCAUUAAAUAAUCAAUAAUUUUGGCUUGUCCAUCAUUAUCUAUUUACUGUGAAUCGUAUUAUUACUUGACGCCUGAGGGAUGUUCCAUUGCUAUAAGGAUAGGCAUUGGAAAUGUUAACCGAGUCAUAAUCAAGCUUAGGCUUGGUAUCCUAUUAUUAUUUACCAAAAGAAUUCAGAAUUAAUAUUGUAACAUAGACGUAAAAAAUCUAUAAAACAACUUUUAACAACGGAUCUCUUGGUUCUCGCAUCGAUGAAGAACGUAGCAAAGUGCGAUAACUAGUGUGAAUUGCAUAUUCAGUGAAUCAUCGAGUCUUUGAACGCAACUUGCGCUCAUUGGUAUUCCAAUGAGCACGCCUGUUUCAGUAUCAAAACAAACCCUCUAUCCAACUUUUGUUGAAUAGGAUGACUGAGAGUCUCUUGAUCUUUCGAUCUCGAACCUCUUGAAAUGUACAAAGGCCUGAUCUUGUUUGAAUGCCUGAACUUUUUUUUAAUAUAAAGAGAAGCUCUUGCGAUAAACUGUGCUGGGGCCUCCCAAAUAAUACUCUUUUAAAUUUGAUCUGAAAUCAGGUGGGAUUACCCGCUGAACUUAAGCAUAUCAAUAAGCGGAGGAAAAGAAAAUAACAAUGAUUUCCCUAGUAACGGCGAGUGAAGAGGAAAGAGCUCAAAGUUGGAAACUGUUUGGCUUAGCUAAACCGUAUUGUAAACUGUAGAAACAUUUUCCUGGCACACCAGAUUAAUAAGUCCUUUGGAACAAGGCAUCAUGGAGGGUGAGAUCCCGUCUUUGAUCUGAGUAGUUGUCUUUUGUGAUAUGUUUUCAAAGAGUCGAGUGUAGGAAAAAUGCA
rnacentral:rRNA from 1 species